AGCCUGAACGCUGGCGGCGUGGCUAAGACAUGCAAGUCGUACGGUGUAGCAAUACACAGUGGCGAACGGGUGAGUAAUGAAUCGCUAAUGUACCCUGGACUCUGGGAUAGCUGCCCGAAAGGGCAGGUAAUACCAGAUGAGACCACGAUCAGGCAUCUGAUUGUGCUCAAAGGUCCGCCGGUCGUGGGAGCGACGCGUAUUUCGUAUCAGUCGUAGUUGUGAGGUAACGGCU
rnacentral:rRNA from 1 species